UAAAAAUGACAAGUUCGUAGGUGAACCUGCGGAAGGAUCAUUACCGAGUGUAGGGUUCCUAGCGAGCCCAACCUCCCACCCGUGUUUACUGUACCUUAGUUGCUUCGGCGGGCCCGCCGUUAUGGCCGCCGGGGGCGUCAGCCCCGGGCCCGCGCCCGCCGGAGACACCACGAACUCUGUCUGAUCUAGUGAAGUCUGAGUUGAUUGUAUCGCAAUCAGUUAAAACUUUCAACAAUGGAUCUCUUGGUUCCGGCAUCGAUGAAGAACGCAGCGAAAUGCGAUAACUAGUGUGAAUUGCAGAAUUCCGUGAAUCAUCGAGUCUUUGAACGCACAUUGCGCCCCCUGGUAUUCCGGGGGGCAUGCCUGUCCGAGCGUCAUUGCUGCCCAUCAAGCACGGCUUGUGUGUUGGGUCGUCGUCCCCUCUCCGGGGGGGACGGACCCCAAAGGCAGCGGCGGCACCGCGUCCGAUCCUCGAGCGUAUGGGGCUUUGUCACCCGCUCUGUAGGCCCGGCCGGCGCUUGCCGAACGCAAAACAAUCUUUCCAGGUUGACCUCGGAUCAGGUAGGGAUACCCGCUGAACUUAAGCAUACAUAGCAGAGA
rnacentral:rRNA from 1 species